AACGCUGGCGGCAUGCCUUACACAUGCAAGUCGAACGGCAGCACGGGAGCAAUCCUGGUGGCGAGUGGCGAACGGGUGAGUAAUAUAUCGGAACGUGCCCAGUCGUGGGGGGAUAACGUAGCGAAAGCUACGCUAAUACCGCAUACGAUCUAUGGAUGAAAGCGGGGGGAUCGCAAGACCUCGCGCGAUUGGAGCGGCCGAUAUCAGAUUAGCUAGUUGGUGAGGUAAAGGCUCACCAAGGCGACGAUCUGUAGCUGGUCUGAGAGGACGACCAGCCACACUGGGACUGAGACACGGCCCAGACUCCUACGGGAGGCAGCAGUGGGGAAUUUUGGACAAUGGGCGCAAGCCUGAUCCAGCAAUGCCGCGUGCAGGAUGAAGGCCUUCGGGUUGUAAACUGCUUUUGUACGGAACGAAACGGUGAGCUCUAAUACAGCUUGCUAAUGACGGUACCGUAAGAAUAAGCACCGGCUAACUACGUG
rnacentral:rRNA from 1 species